rnacentral:rRNA from 1 species
GUGGGGAAUCUUCCGCAAUGGACGAAAGUCUGACGGAGCAACGCCGCGUGAGUGAUGAAGGUCUUCGGAUUGUAAAGCUCUGUUAAUCGGGACGAAAGAGCCUAGUGUGAAUAAUGCUAGGAAGUGACGGUACCGGAAUAGAAAGCCACGGCUAACUACGUGCCAGCAGCCGCGGUAAUACGUAGGUGGCAAGCGUUGUCCGGAAUUAUUGGGCGUAAAGCGCGCGCAGGCGGAUCUGCCAGUCUGUCUUAAAAGUUCGGGGCUUAACCCCGGGAUGGGAUGGAAACUACAGAUCUAGAGUAUCGGAGAGGAAAGUGGAAUUCCUAGUGUAGCGGUGAAAUGCGUAGAUAUUAGGAAGAACACCAGUGGCGAAGGCGACUUUCUGGACGAAAACUGACGCUGAGGCGCGAAAGCCAGGGGAGCGAACGGGAUUAGAUACCCGAGUAGUCC